rnacentral:rRNA from 1 species
GUGGGGAAUCUUGCGCAAUGGGCGAAAGCCUGACGCAGCCAUGUCGCGUGAAUGAUGAAGGUCUUAGGAUUGUAAAAUUCUUUCACCGGGGACGAUAAUGACGGUACCCGGAGAAGAAGCUCCGGCUAACUUCGUGCCAGCAGCCGCAGUAAUACGAAGGGGGCUAGCGUUGCUCGGAAUUACUGGGCGUAAAGGGCGCGUAGGCGGACAGCUUAGUCAGAGGUGAAAGCCCAGGGCUCAACCUUGGAAUUGCCUUUGAUACUGGCUGUCUUGAGUUUGGGAGAGGUGAGUGGAACUCCGAGUGUAGAGGUGAAAUUCGUAGAUAUUCGGAAGAACACCAGUGGCGAAGGCGACUCACUGGCCCAAUACUGACGCUGAGGCGCGAAAGCGUGGGGAGCAAACAGGAUUAGAAACCCCAGUAGUCC